rnacentral:rRNA from 1 species
UACGAAGGGGGCUAGCGUUGCUUCGGAAUCACUGGGCGUAAAGCGCACGUAGGCGGCUUAUUUAAGUCAGGGGUGAAAUCCGGAGCUCAACUCGAACUGCCUUUGAUACUGGAGAGCUUGAGUCCGGGAGAGGUAGUAGUACGACUCGAGUGUAGAGGUGAAAUUCGUAGAUAUUCGGAAGAACACCAGUGGCGAAGGCGGCUAC